rnacentral:rRNA from 1 species
AUACGGAGGGUGCAAGCGUUAAUCGGAAUUACUGGGCGUAAAGCGCGCGUAGGCGGAUAUUUAAGUCUCAUGUGAAAGCCCUGGGCUCAACCUGGGAACUGCAUGGGAUACUGGGUAUCUAGAAUACAGUAGAGGGUAGUGGAAUUUCAGGUGUAGCGGUGAAAUGCGUAGAGAUCUGAAGGAACAUCAGUGGCGAAGGCGACUACCUGGACUGAUAUUGACGCUGAGGUGCGAAAGCGUGGGGAGCAAACGGGAUUAGAAACCCUAGUAGUCC